rnacentral:rRNA from 1 species
GACGAACCGUGCAAACGUUAUUCGGAAUCACUGGGCUUACAGGGUGCGUAGGCGGCUUGUUAAGUAGGGUGUGAAAGCCCCCGGCUCAACCGGGGAAUUGCGCCCUAAACUGGCGAGCUGGAGUGAGAUAGGGGUGUGUGGAACUUCCGGUGGAGCGGUGAAAUGUGUUGAUAUCGGAAGGAACGCCGGUGGCGAAAGCGACACACUGGAUCUUGUCUGACGCUGAGGCACGAAAGCCAGGGGAGCGAACGGG